GGGCAGACAAAAUAAGAGGAAGCCCAGUGUAUCCGGCAAAGCUUGCCCAGGAUUUGGCAAGAUCCAAAAGAGGAGGAAAACUCUCCCUUUUCUGAAUUAAGGACUUAAAAGUCACAUAGCUACUCCUGGUAGGCAUGAAUGUAUGUGUACCAGGUGAACAUAUGGAGGAGCAGAGGUCAGAAGCUAUUGAAUUCCCUGGGACUGGAAUGACGGGUGAGUGCUUGUGAGGCCCCGCUCAGAACCGACAACAGAUUGGGCUCCGCAACAGCAGUGAAUACUCUUAACCACUUAGCCCCUCUCCAGCCCCUCCCUGCCAAUACAGGCACUUAAGUAGACCAGAAUGACCUUGAACUCCUGGCCCACUUGCUGUUCCCUCUAAAGUGCUAAGACUAAGCACUGGGUCUAGCUUUAGACGACGUUCUUAUGAUCUAGAAGCAGCACAGAAAGCAAAGAGUAAACAUAAUAAUUAAUAUUUUAUGUAAGACAAAAAGCCAAAAACCAACGUUUUACUGAAACAUUGAAAUUUGAUUUCUACGUGCUUGUCUUUUAGUUUUGUGUUCACUUUCGAAUCUUCUUAGACCUGGAAACAAGACAAUAAUAAUUAAUCAUAUUAUAAUAAAAUAUUACAAUAAAAAGCUGGUCCUAAAUACAUCUGUAGGAAUGGAGACUAUGGUGUGUGGUAGAGACAAUGAGUACAGAGCUCCCAAGAUAAGCCAUGGAAACCAAGACGGAACCCAUAGCCAUUAAAGCCACAUUAAGGGAUGGGCUGACUUCUCGGGAGGGGCAGGGCCCGACGUUAGCAAAUCAUUCAUUGCAGAUGUCAUUAACCUAAAGCUAGAACAUGUCUGAAACCUCCACAGAGCUCAUCACCUCAGAAAAUGGACCUGCCAUCAUUUCCCAAAGUUUCCACUGGAAAGAAACCAUUUUCAGUAGCACUGCCACAGGGGAACAAUCGCAUAACCAUUCAGACAUUACAAGAGUAACUGGUGCAGGAUAGCUUGCAGUGUUAGAAACUGCCUUCAUGUCCACUGGAAUGAAUGGUGCAGUAAUUAACAUAUCUAUAACACAUCUGUGCAGUGGGAGUCAUAUCACCGAUACAGCGAUGGCGUGUGUCCAUUCUUAAUUUUUUUUUUUUUGGUUCUUUUUUUCGGAGCUGGGGACCGAACCCAGGGCCUUGCGCUUCCUAGGUAAGCGCUCUACCACUGAGCUAAAUCCCCAGCCCCUUAAUUUUUUAAAUUAUGAGCUGGAUGUUGGUGGCACACACCUUCAAUCCCAGCACUCUGGGAGGCAGAGACAGGCAGGGGCCUGAGUUUGAGGCCAGCCUGGUCCACAGAGUGGGUUCCAUGAUAGCCAGGGCUUCACAUAGAAACCUUAUCUUGAAAAAUCAAAUUAUGUCUAGAGGGGGGGCGGGGAGAACACACCACAGUGCUCACAUGGAGGCUAUGACAAUUCUUAGGAGUUGGUUCUCUCUUUCUGCCUUGUGAGGCUUGGGGAUGGACCUUGGUCAGUCAGACUUUGUACCAAGAGCCUUUAUCUGCUAACAUCUUACCCGUCCCACAUUUGUUAACACAGAAAACUGUCAAAGAUUUAUGUUUAGGGAAACAAAAGCAGCUUUAAAAAUGUCCUAUAGCGGGGUUGGGGAUUUAGCUCAGUGGUAGAGCGCUUGCCUAGGAAGCGCAAGGCCCUGGAUUCGGUCCCCAGGUCCGAAAAAAAAGAACCAAAAAAAAAAAAAAAAUGUACUAUAGCUUUGUGCUGUAACCAGUGAGUCAUGUCUGAGGCGCAGCAUUGCUAAGUGAGAGUUUCUGUCAGCAUUCUAAGAUGGCGAUGUGCAGCUUGGUCAGCAGUGGUGGAAAUCUCUGACAAGUUCAAUGGAGACUGAAUAAGUCCACUUAUAAAGACACAUUUUUUUUUCAUGAAAGAUGUGCCCAUUAUGAGCCCGUUUUGCAGCUGAAAAGUAUGUGUGUAUGUCUGUCUCUGUGGGUGUCUUAAUCAGGUUCCUCUUCCUGCACAAACAUCGUGACCAAGAAGCAAGUUGGGGAGGAAAGGGUUUAUUCAGCUUACACUUCCACAUUGCUGCUCAUCACCAAAGGAAGUCAGGACUGGAACUCACACAGGGCAGGAAGCAGGAGCUGAUGCAGAGGCCAUGGAGGGAUGUUUCUUACUGGCUUGCUUCCCUUGGCUUGCUCAGCUUGCUUUCUUAUAGGAACCCAAGACCACCAGCCCAAGGAUACCACCACCCACAAUGGGCUGGGUCCUUCCCACUUAAUCACUAGUUGAGAAAAUGCCUUACAGCUGGGUCUCAUGGUGGCAUUUCCUCGAGGGAGGCUCCUUUCUCUGUGAUGACUCCAGCCUGUGUCAAGCUGACACACAGACCAGCCAGCACAGGGUGCAAGCAUAAGAAGUGGUUGCUGGGCAGGAGAGAUGGUUCAGUGGUUAAGGACUGCUCUUUCAGAGAAUCCAGGUUCAAAUCCCAGCACCCACACGGCAGCUCACAACUGUCUGUAACGCCAAGAUCUGACACACUCACCCAGACAUAUAUGUAGGUAAAACACCAACGCACAUGAAAUGAAAAACCAAAAGAGAAGUGAUUGCUCCAAACCUGGGCUGCCAAAUAAGACCCUGCUUUAAAACUCACCACAUGGUCUGGAGAGGUGGAUCAGUGGUUAAGAGCACUGACUGCUCUUCCAGAGGUCCUGAGUUCAAAUCCCACAACCACAUGGUGGCUCACAACCAUCUGUAAUGGGAUCUGAUGCCCUCUUCUGCUGUGUCUGAAGGCAGCUACAGUGUACUUAUAUAUAAUAAAUAAAUAGUUAAAAAAAACCAAAAACUCACCACACAACAAAAUAAAAGUGGUCACUCCCGUCUAACAAGUAAAAACCUGAAACACUGAAAAUACUGAUAGAGAUCUGACAGAGAACCAAGGAGGUCAUAGGUCAAGCUGCUGACAGAGAACUGAGGAGGUCAUAGGUCAAGCUGCUGUUGCCCACGUUGGAGAGAUGGAAAGAUAUCGAAAGUCACAACUUAACAGAUCAAAAACCCAGGGACAGUGAUUCCAGUGGGCACUGGGGCUUCGAGGAGAAAAGAACCCGGGCCUUAACUGUGGACCUGUCAGAGGCUCACCAUAAGCUACAGGCAGAAGCUGCAGGGCUCAACAGGAAGCUCCUUCUGUCUCUAGGUUCUGGUGAGGGUAAAAACAACCAUUUAAAAUACAGCAGAACACUCUGUUCUUAACAGGUCUGCCAUCAGAAAAGCUGUUCUACCAAGGCAUAGCCUGCCUGAGGGAGGUCACACCAAACCAUGGCUUCCUCUAGCCGCCUGAGGUGGGGGUCGGGGGAAGAACUAAUGAAGCUUGAAGUUGGGGUGCAGGCUGAACAGAGAGACAAAGUACAGGACUGCAGCGGAGUACGUCUUCCCUUGAUUGCCACAGUGACACGGACAAAUUAAUUCACUAAAGAAGUGUUUCUCAACCUGUGGGUUCAGACUCCUUUGGGGGUAGAAUGAUAUUUUCACAGGGAUCACAUAUCAGACAUUUACAUUUUAAUUCAUAACAGUAGCAAAAUCACAGUUCUGAAAUAGCAAUGAACUAAUUUUACGUUUGGGGGUCAACACAACAUUAGGCACUGUAGCAUAGGGUCACAGCGUUAGGAAGGUUGAGAACCACUGACUGAAAGGUAAAAUCACAGUUUUGUGUCGCUGUGAUGCUGGCCCCUCCUCUUUCUCCCCUGCCUCCUCUCUGCCCGCUUUCCUCCUCUCCCCUCCUUCUCCUCUACUGCUGGGUCUCACUGUGGUCUUGGAAUUUGUGGCCCUCUGAGCCUCAGUCUUCUCAGUGCUUCGGAUGACUCAUGAGUGGUGAGAUUAGACCAGCUCAGAUCACAGAGUUAAAGCAGCUAUGAUUACUGUUAGGGUUUUGAGGUGACUGAAGACCCUGUCUCAAAAGAAACAAAAACUAAUGAAGAAGAAUACAUGAUAGGAACUUGUACAUGACCCCAUCACUCUCCUGUCUUUAUGCUUCUAAUGCCAACGCACAUUGGGCAACACGGACAAGUUCCCCUGGGAUUAAAGGCAUGAGCUGCCAUCACCCAGCACCACUGCUUUUUUUUUUAAUUUUUUUCGGAGCUGGGGACCAAACCCAGGGCCUUGCGCUUGCUAGGCAAGCGCUCUACCACUGAGCUAAAUCCUCAACCCCACCACUGCUUUUUAAUUUAACCUCAGGCAAGUUCUUAGGACAAGGGCAGAAGGCUCCUGGGUUCUUUGUCAAAACACCAAGGAAUGGCCUCUUUACCAGGAGCCAAUAUUGUUCCCCUCUGAAUCCCCUUGAGCUGGGCCUCAGUCCACAUGGCCCUCAGAGCUACUGUCUUUCAAGGUCCUAUCAGAAUGACCCUUUAAGCUUUAAGUGUUUACAGCAUUCAGUGGCUUUUUGGUUCAAAGUUCCAAAGCUUUACACAUUCCUCAGAACAAAAACAAAACAAACAAGGUCAGGUUCUUCACAGCAGCUGCCUUUCCCAGUCCAGCUCCCUCUGAACUCACUACUUUAAUGUGUCUGUGAUUUAAAAAAAACAAAACAAAACAAAACUCUACAGAUAAAAAACAAACAAACAAACAAAAAAAAAAAAAAAACAGGGGCUGGAGGGAUCACUCAGCGAUUAAGAGCACCAAUUGCUCUUCCAGAGGUCCUGAGUUCAAUUCCCAGCAACCACAUGGUGGCUCACAGCCAUCUGUAAUGGGGAUUCGAUGCCCUCUUCUGGUGUGUCUGAAGAGAGCGAAGGUGUACUCACAUACAUAAGAUAAAUAAAUUUAAAAAACAAAACAAAACAAAAGCAAAAAAAAAACCAGAUACAAUUGUUUUUUGAAACAGGGUUUCUUUGUGUAGCUCUGGUUGUCUUAGAACUCACUCUGUAGACCAGGCUGACCUUGAACUCGAGAUCCACCCGUCUCAGUCUCACAAGUGCUGAGACUAAAGGCGUGUGCCGCCUGGCUCUGAGGCAACUUUUUUUUAACAAAAGAAGAAGAAGGAGGAGGAAGAGGAGGAGGAAGAGGAGGAAGAAGAGGAGAAAGAGGAGGAAGAGGAAGAGGAGGAGGAGGAAGAGGAGGAGCAGCAGCAGGAGGAGGAGAUUACUUAUAUAGAGUUUGUGAUUCCAGAGGGCUAAGAGUCCAUCACAGCAGGGCCACUUGACAGUAGGAGUCAGCAGUGCUGGCAGGAGCAGAAAGCAGAGUGAUCAGACAGUGAGCGCUGGAAAUUAGGUGAGGCCGUCAACCCUCUAAGCCCAUCACACUGACACACUUCCUCUAGGCAUGACUGUACCUCCUAAACCUGCCCCCAAAGCACCACCAACUGGCCAUCAAAUGUUCUAAUAUCCAAAUGUCAGUCAACCAAGAACCUCCCACAUUCCAGAACCAGGUGCUCCCCCAACCCCCACCCUGCUUUCAGUAAUUCUCUCUAAAGGUGAGCAAGACAUAUUUCCCUUAUCACUGCUGCAGUGUAUUUUCCCUGUGUUAAGCUCCAGGCCCCCACAAAGCCCCCACCAUCAGAGGCUAUCUUCCACAUCUCCCCUCCCAGAUCAACUUACACGAGGUCUGUUGUACGGUGUGAUUUUUUUUCCCAGCAUUCUUUUUGCUGAAAAACCCCUACCUCUUCUGUUGGGGACAUUUAUUAUUCAAACCACGACAACCUCCAUGCUCACAUCAAAGCAUUCUCUUUUCCUGUAGCUCUUGGGAUCUAACUCAAGGCCUUGAGCAUGCUACACAUAAGCACUCCACCUCAAGGCUACGUCACCAGCCCACAAGGCACUUCUGUACUUUGUACUUAUAUGUGUGUGUCUGCAUGGUUAUGUGCAUGUGGGUGUGAGUGCCCAUGGAGGCUGGAAGAGGGCGUCAUCCACUGGAGUUAGGCUUGCAGGUGGUCGUGACCUAUCUAACACGGGGGCUUGGAACUGAACUUGGAUCCUCUGUAAGUACAUGCUCUUCACUCCUGAGACAUCUCUCCUGCCCACUUAAGACACUUUUUUCUCUCUUUUUUUAAUAUUUAUUUAUUUAUUUAUUAUACAUUAUACAGCUUUCUGUCUGCAUGUGUGCCUGCAGACCAGAAGAUGACCCCAGAUCCCAUUACAGAUGGUUGUGAGCCACCAUGGAGUUGCUGGGAAUUGAACUCAGGACCUCUGGAAGAGCAGUCAGUGCUCUUAACCGCUGAGCCAUCUCUCCAGCCCCCCACUUAAGACACUUUUAAAAGAACAAACAAGCAAAAAACCCAUACCACUUCACUCAAAAGGUGAUGGUGUUUAACAGUUUUUUAAGCAUUCAAUUGGAAUGUUUCCUUUCCCCUCAGUCCUUCCCAGUGCUCUCCAACUCCCUCACAAGGAGUCACUGAUCAUGGUGGAGAACUGGAAAAGUUAGGAACAAAAGCUGAAGCUCUGGGUCACUAGAGAGAACACAAACUGUCCAUUUCUUCCUCGGACUGCAGAGACAGGCUACAAGAGAAGGGGACCCCUGGAGCAUGAAAUGAAAUUCAGUAUUGAUUAUUUUAGCUCUGCACAUUUUAAUUACUGAUCAGAUAAACUCUUUUUUUUUUCUUUUUCUUUUUUUUUUUUCCGGAGCUGGAGACUGAACCCAGGGCCUUGCGCUUCCUAGGCAAGCGCUCUACCACUGAGCUAAAUCCCCAGCCCCUGAUCAGAAAAACUCUUAUUCCUGAAAAGUAACCAGAAAUGCCACGAGAGCACAGAAAUUUUCGUGUGGAGAUUUAUUCAUUUAUUAUAUAUAAGUACACUGUAGCUGUCUUCAGAUACACCAGAAGAGGGCAUCAGAUCCCAUUACAGAUGGUUGUGAGCCACCAUGUGGUUGCUGGGAAUUGAACUCAGGACCUCUGGAAGGAAGAGCAGUCCGGUGCUCUUAACAGCUGAGCCAUCGCUCAAGCCCCCAACUAGCAUCUUCUAAAAGACCCCAGGGACCAACAGCCCAGGAAUGAUGACCAGGACCAGGACCCGCUCCCAUCAACCACUAAUUAAGAUGAUGCCCUACAGGCUUGCCUACAGCAUUUUCCUAACCGAAGUUUCCGUCUCACAGAUGACUUUAGCUUGUUUCAAGAUGAUAUAAAACUAUAAAGCAUGCCGACAAACAAGACAAUUCUGAAGAACUCUCUGGGAAAAGCAGCUGAGGACCGAACCCAGGGCCUUGCACUUGCUAGGCAAGCGCUCUACCACUGAGCUAAAUCCCCAAUCCGUGAGUCCGUUUUAUACAGGCUGCCAGAACCUUCUGAGAGUCUUCACCUGGAUCCCUGAGACACACGAUGCCACAGACCAAAGAACCAGGCACACGAGCUGAGCCGCCGAGACACUCCACAGAGAAUUUGGAGUUGCGAGAAGGAGCACCACACACUGUAAGGUUUUGCUUCCAGGUCUGCUGAGUGCCUGACAGAGGAAGGCUGUCCGUCCUUAGGCCUACUGCAAAGUAGGUGUUGAGGUAUUUGGGAGACAGCUACCCAGAAGGAGAAUCUUAUCACUGGAAAUGGCCUGCUCAUUUUAAGGCUAAAAUCAAGCAUGCUCUGUCCUCCAAUUCCACUGGAGCUAUACUGGGGCUUUCAAUGGUUUGGGGUUUUGUUCGGUUAACUGGUUUGUGUGUUUAGUAUAUUUGGUUGGUUUGGUUUUUGAAACAGCGCCUCAGUCUGUAGCUCUGGCUGACCUGGAACUCACAAAGAUCUGCUUGCCUUCAUUCUCCCAGUGCUGGACUGAAGCUGUGCACCACCACAUCUGGACUUCGAUGGAGAGUCUUGUAGCUUUGGAAACAGUUCGGUCUCUGAACCGUAAUUACCCGUAAGCAACGGCAAGAAUGCACAGACAUCAAAUGCUUGCCUUGAAACCUGGAGGACGGGUAGAUGUGGCUGUCUUGGGGCUACAGAGAUGACUCAAAGGGUAAGAGCACUGGCUGCUCUUUGCAGAGAACCCGGGUUUGGUUCCCAGCACCCACGUUCCAGCUCACCACCCUCUGUGGCUCCGGCUCUUGAGGAUUUAACACGAUCUUCUGGCCUCAGCAAGCACUAGACAGCCAUGUGGAGCGCAUACGUGCAUGCAGUCAGAUAUCAUACACAGGAAAUAACAAAUCUAAGAACUUUAAUGCAGAUAUCUUUAAUAGACUUUAUAUCUUCUUGAUCGUUUAAGGUAACAUUUUGAAUAUGUAGAUUUUAUUUUUUGAAACUUGUUUUUACUAAUGUCUUUGCUAUAGAGAAUAAAAAAACCCUCCCAUCUUUAUUAAAUUGGGUAUUUCUUAUUUACAUUUCAAAUAUUAUUCCCUUUCCCGGUUUCCAGGCCAACAUCCCUCUAACCCCUUUCCCUCCCCUUCUAUAUGGUUGUUCCCCUCCCCAUCCUCCCCCCAUUACCGCCCUCCCCACUAACAAUCACGUUCACUGGGGGUCCAGCCUUGGCAGGGCCAAGGACUUCCCCUUACACUGGUGCUCUUACUAGGAUAUUCAUUGCUACCCAUGCAGUUGGAGCCCAGGGUCAGUCCAUGUAUAGUCUUUAGGUAGUGGCUUAGUCCCUGGAAGCUCUGGUUGGUUGGCAUUGUUGUUCAUAUGGGGUCUCGAGCCCCUUCAGCUCUUUCAGUCCUUUCUCUGAUUCUUUCAAUGGGGGUCCCGUUCUCAGUUCAGUGGUUUGUUGCUGGCAUUCGCCUAUGUGUUUGCCAUAUUCCAGCUGUGUCUCUCAGGAGAGAUCUACAUCCGGUCCCUGUCAGCCUGCACUUCUUUGCUUCAUCCAUCUUAUCUAGUUUGGUGGCUGUAUAUGUAUGGGCCACAUGUGGGGCAGGCUCUGAAUGGGUGUUCCUUCUGCCUCUCUUCUAAACUUUGCCUUCCUAUCCCCUCCGAAGGGUAUUCUUGUUCCUCUUUUAAAGAAGGAGUAAAGCAUCUGCAUUUUCGUCAUCCUUCUUGAGUUUCAUGUGUUCUGUGCAUCUUGGGUAAUUCGAGCAUUUGGGCGAAUAUCCACUUAUCAAUAAGUGCAUACCAUAUGUGUUUUUCUGUGUUUGGGUUACCUCACUCAGGAUAUUUCCCAGUUCCAUCCAUUUGCCUAUGAAUUUCAUAAAGUCAUUGUUUUUGAUAGCGGAGUAGUAUUCCAUUGUGUAGAUGUACCAUUUUCUGUAUCCAUUCCUCUGUUGAAGGGCAUCUGAGUUCUUUCCUGCUUCUGGUUAUUAUAAACAAGGCUGCUAUGAACAUACUGGGGCACGUGUCUUUGUUAUAUGCUGGAGCAUCUUUUGGGUAUAUGCCCAAGAGAGGUAUAGCUGGGUCCUCAGGUAGUUCAAUGUCCAAUUUUCUGAGGAACCUCCAGACUGAUUUCCGGAAUGGUUGUACCAGUCUGCAAUCCCUGCAACAGUGGAGGAGUGUUCUUCUUUCUCCUAUCCUUAUCAACAUCUGCUGUUGCUGGAGUUUUUGAUCUUAGCCAUUCUGACUGGUGUGAGGUGGACUCUCAGGGUUGUUUUGAUUUGCAUUUCCCUUAUGACUAAAGAUGUUGAAUAUUUCUUUAGGUGCUUCUUAGCCAUUCGGCAUUCCUCAGCUGUGAAUUCUUUGUUUAGCUUUGAACGCCAUUUUAUAAUAGGGUUAUUUGUCUCCCUGUGGUCUAACUUCGUGAGUUCUUUGUAUGUUUUGGAUAUAAACCCUCUAUCAGUUGUAGGAUAGGUAAAGAACUUUUCCCAAUCUGUUGGUUGCCAUUUUGUACUAAUGACAGUGUCCUUUGCCUUACAGAAGCUUUGCAGGUUUAUGAGAUCCCAUUUGUCGAUUCUUGAUCUUAGAGCAUAAGCCAUUGGUGUUUUGUUCAGGAAAUUUUCUCCAGUACUCAUGUGGUCAAGAUGCUUCCCCACUUUUUCUUCUAUUAGUUUGAGUGUAUCUGGUUUGAUGUGGAGGUCUUUGAUCCACUUGGACUUAAGCGUUGUACAGGGUGAUAAGCAUGGCUCGAUCUGCAAUCUUCUACAUGUUGACCUACAGUUGAACCAGCACCAUUUGCUGAAAAUGCUAUCUUUUUUCUAUUUUAUGUUUUUGGCUCCUUUGUCAAAAAUCAAGUGACCAUAGGUGUGUGGGUUCAUUUCUGGGUCUUCAAUUCUAUUCCACUGGUCUAUCUACUUGUCUCUGUACCAAUACCAUACAGUUUUUAUCACUAUUGCUCUGUAAUACUGCUUGAGUUCAGGGAUAGUGAUUCCCCCUGAAGUCCUUUUAUUGUUGAGGAGAGUUUUAGCUAUCCUGAGUUUUUUGUUAUUCCAGAUGAAUUUGCAAAUUGUUCUAACUCUCUGAAGAAUUGGAUUGGAAUUUUGAUGGGGAUUGCAUUGAAUCUGUAGAUCGCUUUUGGUAAAAUGGCUAUUUUUACUAUAUUAAUCCUGCCAACCUAUGGGCAUGGGAGAUCUUUCCAUCUUCUGAGAUCAUCUUCAAUUUCUUUCUUCAGAGGCUUGAAGUUCUUAUCAUACAGAUCUUUCACUUGCUUGGUUAAAGUCACACUGAGGUAUUUUAUAUUAUUUGGGACUAUUAUGAAGGUUGUUGUUUCUCUUUUGUGUAGAUUUUAUACCCAGCCACUUUGCUGAAGUUGUUUAUCAGCUUUAGUAGUUCUCUGGUGGAACUUUUGGGAUCACUUAAAUAUACUAUCAGAUCAUCUGCAAAUAGUGAUAUUUUGACUUCUUCCUUCCCAAUCUGUAUCCCUUUGAUCUCCUUUUGUUGUCUGAUUGCCCUGGCUAGGACUUCAAGAACUAUAUUGAAUAAGUAGGGAGAGAGUGGGCAGCCUUGUCUAGUCCCUGAUUUUAGUGGGAUUGCUUCAAGUUUCUCUCCAUUUAGUUUAAUAUUAGCUACUGUUUGCUGGAUAUGGCUUUUACUAUGUUUAGGUAUGGGCCUUGAAUUCCUAUUCUUUCCAGGACUUUUAUCAUGAAGGGGUGUUGAAUUUUGUCAAAUGCUUUCUCAGCAUCUAAUGAAAUGAUCAUGUGGUUUGUAUCUUUCAGUUUGUUUAUAUAGUGGAUUACGUUGAUGGUUUUCCGUAUACUAAACCAUCCCUGCAUACCUGGGAGGAAGCCUACUUGAUCAUGAUGGAUGAUUGUUUUGAUGUGCUCUUGGAUUUGGUUUGCAAGAAUUUUAUUGAUUAUUUUUGCAUUGAUAUUCAUAAGGGAAAUUGGUCUGAAGUUCUCUUUCUUUGUUGGGUCUUUGUGUGGUUUAGGUAUAAGAGUAAUUGUGGCUUCAUAGAAGGAAUUUGGUAGCACUCCAUUUGUUUCAAUUUUGUGGAACAGUUUGGAUAGUAUUGGUAUGAGGUCUUCUAUGAAGGUCUGAUAGAAUUCUUCACUGAACCCAUCUGGACCUGGGCUCUAUUUGGUUUUGAGACCUUUAAUGACUGCUUCUAUUUCGUUAGGAGUUAUGGGGUUGUUUAAGUGGUUUAUUUGUUCCUGAUUUAACUUCGGCACCUGUUAUCUGUCUAGGAAAUUGUCCAGUUCCUGAAGAUUUUCAAGUUUUGUUGAAUAUAGGCUUUUGUAGUAGGAUCUGAUGAUUUUUUGAGUUUCCUCUGAUUCUGUUGUUAUGUCUCCCUUUUCAUUUCUGAUUUUGUUAAUUUGGACACACUCUCUGUGUCCUCUUGUUAGUCUGGCUAAGGGUUUAUCUAUCUUGUUGAUUUUCUCAAAGAACCAGCUUUUGCUUCUGUUGAUUCUUUGUAUAGUCCUUUUUAUUUCUACUUGGUUGAUUUCAGCUCUGAGUUUGAUUAUUUCCUGCCUUCUACUCCUCCUGGGUGUAUUUGCUUCUUUUUCUUCUAGAGCUUUUAGGUGUGCUGUCAAGCUGCUGAUAUAUGCUCUCUCCUGUUUCUUUCUGCAGGUACUCAGAGCUAUGAGUUUUCCUCUUAGCACAGCUUUCACUGUGUCCCAUAAAUUUGGCUAUGUUGUACCUUCAUUUUCAUUAAAUUCUAAUAAGUCUUUAAUUUCUUUCUUUUAUUUCUUCCUUGACCAGGUUAUCAUUGAGUAGAGCAUUGUUCAACUUCCAUGUAUAUAUGGGCGUUCUUUCCUUAUUGUUAUUGAAUACCAGCUUUAGCCCGUGGUGGUCUGAUAGGAUGCAUGGGAUUAUUUCUAUCUUUCUGUAUCUGUUGAGGCCCAUUUUGUGCCCGAUUAUAUGGUCAACUUUGGAGAAAGUACCAUGAGGUGGUGAGAGGAAGGUAUAUCCUUUUGUUUUAGGAUAGAGUGUUCUAUAAAUAUCUGUUAAGUCCAUUUGGUUCAUAACUUCUGUUAGUCUAUCUAUGUCUCUGUUUAAUUUCUGUUUCCAUGAUCUGUCCAUUGAUGAGAGUGGGGUGUUGAAAUCUCCUACUAUUAUUGUGUGAGGCGCAAUGUGUGCUUUGAGUUUUAGUAAGGUUUCUUUUAGGUAUGUAGGUGCCCUUGUAUUUGGAGCAUAGAUAUUUAGGAUUGAGAGUUCAUCUUGGUGGAUUUUUCCUUUGAUGAAUAUGAAGUGUCCUUCCUUAUCUUCUUUGAUGACUUUUGGUUGAAAAUCGAUUUUAUUUGAUAUUAGAAUGGCUACUCCAGCUUGCUUCUUCUGACCAUUUGCUUGAAAAGUUGUUUUCCAGCCUUUUACUCUGAGGUAAUGUCUGUCUUUGUCUCUGAGGUGUGUUUCCUGUAAGCAGCAAAAUGCUGGGUCCUCAUUAUGUAUCUAGUUUUUUUUUUUUGUUUUUUUUUUUUUUUGUUUUUUUUGGUUCUUUUUUUCGGAGCUGGGGACCGAACCCAGGGCCUUGCGCUUCCUAGGCAAGCGCUCUACCACUGAGCUAAAUCCCCAACCCCAUGUAUCUAGUUUCUUUUUUUUUUUUUCUUUUUCUUUUUUCUUUUUUUCGGAGCUGGGGACUGAACCCAGGGCCUUGCGCUUGCUAGGCAAGCGGUCUACCGCUGAGCUAAAUCCCCAACCCCUAUGUAUCUAGUUUCUUAAUCUAUGUCUUUUUAUUGGGGAAUUGAGUCCAUUGAUGUUGAGAGAUAUUAAGGAAUAGUGAUUGUUGCUUCCUGUUAUAUUCAUAUUUGGAUGUGAGAUUAUGUUUGUGUGCUUUUCUUCUCUUUGUUUUGUUGCCAAGACGAUUAGUUUCUUGCUUUUUCUAGGGUGUAGCUUGCCUCCUUGUGUUGAGCAUUACCAUUUAUUAUCCUUUGUAGGGGUGGAUUUGUAGAAAUAUAUUGUGUAAAUUUGGUUUUGUCAUGGAAUAUCUUGGUUUCUCCUAUAUUAUUUGAGAGUUUUGCUGGAUACAGUAACCUGGGCUGGCAUUUGUAUUCUCUUAGGGUCUGUAUGACAUCUGUCCAGGAUCUUCUGGCUUUCAUAAUCUCUGGUGAUAAGUCUGGUGUAAUUCUGAUAGGUCUGCCUUUAUAUGUUACUUGAUCUUUUUCCCUUACUGCUUUUAAUGAUAAUAAAAAACCUUAAUGUGAUUUACCAGCUGGUAAUGACAUAGGAGGGAUUCAGAGAUGUGUUUACCCAAAUCGCCUACAAAACAAAACGUAAACCGAUGCCUCUCCUGUCCAAUGAGCAGAAUCAAAGACUUCGUACUGCUACCAAAAUUGCCAGAUAACCUUAUUAAAGCUGGACACACACACACACACACACACACACACACACACACAGGCACUCAGAAGAAAAUAAUGUAUGACUUUCUUUAUAUAAAAUGAAGACUAAGCAGACUACUCCACUUAGCAGUGAGCAGACUGGCGGUUAGCUGCAAAUUAGUGUGUCAGUGAGGCAGAGAUAUCUAGGAGGACCCUAAACCAUCAAGAGCAGGGCAAUGGUGGUCCACACCUUUAAUCCCAGCAAAGGCAAGUGAGUCUCUGUGUGUCGAGACCAGCCUGGUCUACAAAGUGAACUCUAGGACAGCCAGGGCUGUUACAAGAAAUCUUGUCUCAAAACAACAAACUGAUAAACAAAAAAAAAAUCAAGAAAUUAGGGGGAGAUGAGUCAGUUCAUUGUUGAUUCAGCUGACACUUCCACCAAUUUUAAUAUAUAUGUGUGUAUAUAUAUAUGUAUAUAUCAGAACUUGUUUACUUUUAAAAAACAUAGUUUAUCCCAUGAUAACAACAACAACAACAAAACCACCAAUUUGGUGGUUUGAAUGAAAAGGGUAGAGCUGGAGAGAUGGCCCCAUGGUUAAGAGCACUGGCUGCUCUUCCAUAGUUCCUGAGUUCAAUUCCCAGCAA